GCCCUCAGUUUCCUGCUGCAGAAGCCUCUUUGUAAAGCAACUAUGGCAGGAAGAGUCACCCUCAGAGCCAGAGAGAGUGAGAGAGGGGUCCAGCCCACACCCAAGGGAAGGAGAUUCCGCAAGGGCAUGGAUACCAGGAGGGACGAAGAAGAGGGACAAAAAGGGAAAACGAUUUGCUGUCAUUGUAUCCACAAAGUGCACAUUUUCUUUGUACGGUUGAAAUGUCUG